rnacentral:tRNA from 1 species
GCUCCCGUAGCUCAGCUGGAUAGAGCAACGGAUUUCUAAUCCGUAGGUCGCAGGUUCGAGUCCUGCCGGGAGCGCCA